UGGCGGGGUAAAGGCCCACCAAGGCGACGAUCCGUAGCUGGUCUGAGAGGAUGAUCAGCCACACUGGAACUGAGACACGGUCCAGACUCCUACGGGAGGCAGCAGUGGGGAAUAUUGGACAAUGGGCGCAAGCCUGAUCCAGCCAUACCGCGUGGGUGAAGAAGGCCUUCGGGUUGUAAAGCCCUUUUGUUGGGAAAGAAAUCCAGCUGGCUAAUACCCGGUUGGGAUGACGGUACCCAAAGAAUAAGCACCGGCUAACUUCGUGCCAGCAGCCGCGGUAAUACGAAGGGUGCAAGCGUUACUCGGAAUUACUGGGCGUAAAGCGUGCGUAGGUGGUCGUUUAAGUCCGUUGUGAAAGCCCUGGGCUCAACCUGGGAACUGCAGUGGAUACUGGACGACUAGAGUGUGGUAGAGGGUAGCGGAAUUCCUGGUG
rnacentral:rRNA from 1 species